rnacentral:rRNA from 1 species
UAGAUGCGAGAGUAGAGCAUAUCAAUAAGCGGAGGAAAAGAAACUAACAAGGAUUCCCUUAGUAACGGCGAGUGAAGCGGGAAGAGCUCAAAUUUGAAAUCUUCAAGGUUCUACCUUGACGAAUUGUAGUUUAAAGAAGUGUUUUCUGUUAGAUGAGUAGCAAAAGUUCCUUGGAAUGGGACAUCAUAGAGGGUGAGAAUCCCGUAUUUGGUUAUUCAUUCUAGCUUUGUGAUACACUUUCAAAGAGUCGGAUUGUUUGGGAAUGCAGUCCAAAAUGGGUGGUAAAUUUCAUCUAAAGCUAAAUAUUGGCGAGAGACCGAUAGCGAACAAGUACCGUGAGGGAAAGAUGAAAAGAACUUUGAAAAGAGAGUUAAACAGUACGUGAAAUUGUCAAAAGGGAAGCGUUUGACACCAGUGUUGUUUUUUUCCGAAAAUCAAUUACGAAUGGCUUGAUUUUGUGUUGUAUUGACCUUAUCAGCUUUCUGCACUUUUUUUUCGAGUCUUUCUUAAUGCACUUUUCGGUUUAACAAGUCAACAUCAAUUUCUUUUGUUGUAAUAAGAGUAUUCGGAAGGUGGCUUUCUUUUCGGAGAAAGUGUUUAUAGCCCUAUACUUCUACAAUCGGAGAGAUUGAGGUCUGCAGCGUAGAUCCUUCGGGGUUAGAUACACUUGUGCUAAGUUGUAGCUUUUCAUAGACAACUUGUUGACUAUGUUUAGUCAUUGGGACUUACCUCGCUUAGUGCUAUUUUACCUACGCUUAGGAUGUUGAGCGCAUGUCUCUCUCU